rnacentral:tRNA from 2 species
CAGUAGCUCAGUUGGAUAGAGCAACGGCCUUCUAAGCCGUGGGUCGGGGGUUCGAAUCCCUCCUGAC